CUCCGAUGCUUGUUGUCAUCUGUUUACUCCUAUGUAAUCACUUAAGUUGUUAUUAACUGCUGCAUGCUAAGCUGCAAGAGUGCACUGAGGACUGAGACAAAAUAUGGUCUACAAACCAGCAUUAUAUUAGUUUUUAUCAGAUAGUCCUCCAGUGUGUUUAAUUUUUGCUUUAAUUCUAUUGUGCAGUUAUUUGUUACCCUGAAAUGCUUUAUGCUUAACAACAGCUCACUAUUUUGACUUAUUUUUGAACUCUUGUGAUCAGUAUGACUAGAUUGUGUGAGUUUCCAUACUAAAAGAGCUGUAGUGAUAAAAUAACUGGCAUCAGAGACACUGGUUUUUGGCAUGGUAUACUGCAGAAGUUUUUUUUUUUUGCAUAAUUUACCUUUUAAUUAAACUGCAUUCUCUGUAUUGUAACAAAACUAACAUUGUUUAUAUGUCAGAAAAUUAGCAAACAUGAAUAAAUGGCAAAAACAAUAUAAUUAUAACAUAUAUUUUUAUUUUACUUAUUUUAGGUCUGUGAAGCCAAACUUGAUGCUGGGGAUUUAUUUUUGUCAGUGGAGUCAAAUGGUUGAAGCAGAAUUUGCCCGUCUUACAUCUGUUGACCUGAAAGGGUUCCUUUUUGCUGUGCUUGACCAUUAUGGAGAGGUUCGUGGAGCUGUACAAAAUCAAGAGCGGCAUAGGAGGGCUAACUAGGCUCAUAAGAUGCUUCGGAGAUGAUAGCCCUACACAAAGGAAGAGGACAGAGGGCCUCAUUUUCUAAAGGAAGAGCCCUCACACACUUUCAAGACUGUGAAGCCGACAGGUAUUGAAGACACGUUUUCUAAGAGGAUGAAAGUUGGCAUUGUGAUGGUGAAAGAAGAAGACAUCAUCGAUGUGUUGGUCGUCCCUGAGGCGGCAGUAAUCCUGUCUAAUCUGAGGGAUGUCUCAAGUGCCAUUUCCAUGCUGAUGGGCCUUCUUUU
ensembl:lncRNA